rnacentral:rRNA from 1 species
UGCAGAGAACUUUCCAGAGAUGGAUUGGUGGCCUUCGGGAACUCUGACACAGGUGCUGCAUGGCUGUCGUCAGCUCGUGUCGUGGGAUGUUCGGGUUAAGUCCCGUAAGAGCGCAACCCUUGUCCUUAGUUACCAGCACGUCAUGGCGGGCACUCUAAGGAGACUGCCGGUGACAAACCGGAGGAAGGUGGGGAUGACGUCAAGUCAUCAUGGCCCUUACGGCCUGGGCUACACACGUGCUACAAUGGUCGGUACAGAGGGUUGCCAAGCCGCGAGGUGGAGCUAAUCUCACAAAACCGAUCGUAGUCCGGAUCGCAGUCUGCAACUCGACUGCGUGAAGUCGGAAUCGCUAGUAAUCGCGAAUCAGAAUGUCGCGGUGAAUACGUUCCCGGGCCUUGUACACACCGCCCGUCACACCAUGGGAGUGGGUUGCUCCAGAAGUAGCUAGUCUAACCUUCGGGGGGACGGUUACCACGGAGUGAUUCAUGACUGGGGUGAAGUCGUAACAAGGUAGGCGUAGUGCU